rnacentral:lncRNA from 10 species
GUGUGUGUGUGUGUGUGUGUGUGUUUUAGUAGAGACGGGGUUUCACCAUGUUAGCCAGGAUGGUCUCAAUCUCCUGACCUCGUGAUCCACCCGCCUCGGCCUCCCAAAGUGAUGGGAUUACAGGCAUGAGCCACCAUGCCCAGCCCGCCUGGCUAAUUUUUAAAAUUUUUUUGUGGAGACAGAGUUUUGCUCUGUUGCCUAGGCUAGUCUCAAACCCUGAGCUCAAGCAAUCCUCCCACCUCAGCCUUCCAAAGUGAUGGGAUUACAGGUAUGAGCCACCACAUCUGCCUCUGCUCUUUGUUAUCCUCAUUUCUCUCCUUCUUUCUAAGGUAACAUCCUCCCUGAUUAAGAAAAAUACCACCGGCCCGGCACGGUGGCUCAUGCCUGUAAUCUCAACACCUUGGGAGGCCAAGGUGGGUGGAUCAGCUGAGGUCAGGAGUUGAAAACCAGCCUGACCAACAUGGCGAAACCCCAUCUCUACUAAAAAUACGAAAAUUAGCUGGGCGUGGUAGCAUGCACCUGUAAUCCCAGCUACUCAGGAGGCUAAGGCAGGAGAAUCGCUUGAAUCUGGGAAGCGGAGGUUGCAGUGAGCCGAGAUCAUGCCAUUGCACUCCAGCCUGGGCAACAGAGCAAGACUCCGUCUCAAAAAUAAGAAAAAUGCCACAGACGCUGCCUUAACCAAGUGAUCGAAUUUAAGAGUGCCAAAAAUGGGACAAACCGAUAUCAUAUGCCCCCAAUGUGAGGCACUGGGAAGGACACAACAUCACCUACGUAGUAUUGUUUUUAAGAUGGGAGUCCUGCCCUGUCACCAGAGCUGGAGUGCGCAAGACUGUCUCAAAAAAAGAGUCUAUUUUUUAAAAACUGUGUUGCAGGAAAUUAAUGUGUGAUAAAGGGUAACUGAAGGGGCCUACUUUAGGUAGGGUGAAAAAGGAAGCUCUCUUCAAGGCUGUUUUCUCAUUGAUAAAAUGGAGGUAACAAUAUCUGCCUUCACACAGUUGUUAAAGUUCAAAUAACAUAUAUAUGAAAGGCCCUUUUAAAUUGCCAGGUGCAGUGGCUCAUGCCUGUAAUCCCAGCACUUUGGAAGGCCGAGGCAGGUGGAUCACUUGAGGUCAGGAGUUUGAGACCAGCCUGGCCAACAUGGCAAAAACGCUGUCUCUACUAAAAAUACAAAAAUUAGCCAGACGUGGUGGUGUGUGCCUGUAAUCCCAGCUACUUGGGAGACUGAGGCAGGAGAAUCACUUGAACCCAGGAGGCUGCUGUGAGGCAAGAUUGUGCCACUGUACUCUGGCCUAGACAACAGAGCAAGACUCUAUCUCAAAAAAAAUAAUAAAAAUAGGCUGGGCUCUGUGGCUCACGCAUGGAGAAACCCCUUCACUACUAUAACUACAAAAUUAGCCUAGCAUGGUGGCGCAUGCCUGUAAUCCCAGCUACUCAGGAGGCUGAGGCAGGAGAAUCACUUGAACCUAGGCGGCGGAGGUUGCAGUGAGCCAAGAUUGCGCCAUUGCACUCCAGCCUGGGCAACAAGAGCGAAAUUCCAUCUCAAAAAUAAUAAUAAUAAUAUAAAUAAAUUGCUACGUAUCUUCUCAUGUGAUAAAAUAUGGAAUAUUACCUAUAAUAUACUGGUAGGCAGCUCUGAAAUAGCUCCCAAUGAUCUCUGACUGCUGAUAUUCAGGCCCUUAUGUAACUCCCACACUCUGGGCAUGGGCUGGGUCUAGUGACUCAAUUCUAAGAAAUAAAAUGCAGCAAAAGUGAUCAGAUGCCACUUGCAAAAUUAGGUUACAAAAAGACUGUGACUUCUAUGCGAUCUCUCUCUCUCUUCCUUAAAAGUAGGCUGCUGGCCAGGCAUGGUGGCUCAUGCCUGUAAUCCCAGCAGUUUGGGAGGCCAAGGAGGGCAGAUCACAAGGUCAAGAGUUCGAGACCAGCCUGACCAACAUGGUGAAACCCUACUAAAAAUACAAAAAUUAGCCAAGCAUGGUGGCACACGCCUAAUCCCAGCUACUCAGGAGGCUGAGGCAGGAGAAUGGCUUCAACCCGGGAGGCGGAGGUUGCAUUGAGCUGAGAUUGCGCCAUUGCACUCCAGCCUGGGCAACAAGAGUGAAACUCCAUCUCAAAAAAAAAGACAUUUUGGGGCCAACCAGGGAGAUUUAAAUAUAGACUAUGAUUAGAUUAAAUGAAAAUUGGCCAGGCACAGUGGCUCACGAAUGUAAUUCCAACACUUUGGGAGGCCGAGACAGGAGGAUUGCUUGAGCCCAGGGGUUUGAGACCUGCCCAGGCAACAUGGUAAAACCCCAUCUCUACAAAAAAUAACAAAUAAAAAAAACUAACCAGGCAUUGUGGCAUGUGCCUAUAGUCCCUAGCUACUAGGGAGGCUUAGGUGGGAGGAUCCACCUGUAUUAUGCACCUCCCAUGUAUAAUACAAAGGAAUGAAAUGCUAAUCACUGUGGUAUCUGGGUGUGGGGGACUUUCAGGGGAGGUCCCAGCGUGCUGAGCCCAUGGAAGGUCAGGGUGGACUAGAGUACCCGGCCCACAGGCUGUAAUGGAAAAAAACCCAGGAGGUAGAUUCUGAAGAUCUGGGUCUGAAUCCAGAUCCGAGCGUUGACUAAUUGGCCUUUGAGAAGUCAUUUAAUCUCAGAAGUGGAAGGGACCUAAGAGGUCUUUCCAUGGGUUAGUCACAGGCCAGAUGCCAAAACCUAGGCCACUGACCCUGUGCAGGUUCUUUCCACUACGUGCUGCUUCCCUGUUUAUGAUAUUCUUACCCGCAAUAACAACUAACUUUGGUACAGCAAUUUACAUCUCAUGAAGCGCAAGUGUUCCUCUUGAGCUCUCACAGAACCUCUUGUUAAGCCACCAUCGUUCUUUUCCAGUUUUAAAAGAACUUGGGAGGCCAAGGCAGACGGAUCACAAGGUCAGGAGUUCGAGACCAGCUUGACCAACAUGGUGAAACGCCGUCUCUACUUAAAAUACAAAAAAAUUAGCUGGGCGUGGUGGCACACGCCUGUAAUCCCAG